GUCGCGAUGGCCGAGUGGUUAAGGCGUCAGAUUUGAACUCCAUUAUCAAAUAUCUGAUGGUGUUUCACCGCGUAGGUUCGAACCCUGCUCGCGACG